rnacentral:lncRNA from 1 species
AUGCCUGUAUCUGAAAGCAUUGCUGUGUCACUUUACCGAUUUCAUCGAAAUUAUACAGAUUCCACUCUGCACCGAGGAGUUGGUGGGACCUCGGCAUGCCUGUUGCCCCACAUGACAUCUGGGCUCUUGCUUUGUGUAUGACGUCAGCCUGAGUGCUUUCCUGACCCCCCGCCAGCCACUGUGACUCAUCUGCCUGUGAGUCUGAGCUCCUGUUCUUCAUUCUUCAGCUCUUCACACAUAACCCCCCUCAACUCCUCAAGCACGUACCCUUUCUUCUCUCAGCUCUGACAACUGAAAACACUUUUUCAGUUUUACAUUUUUGCUCUCCUGACCUUGAUUUAAACUCCUAAUUUGGGUAUCCGGUUGACCCUUGAACCACACAGGUUUGAACUGCGUGGAUCCACAUAUAUGUGCAUUUUUUUCCUAUAAAUGUAAUGGAACGUUUUUUGGAGAUUGUGACAAUUUAGAAAAACUUAUAGACAAACUGCAUAGCCUAGAAAUAUUGAAAAAAUUAAGAAAAAGUUAGAGAUGUCAUGAAUGCAUAAAAUAUAUGUAGAUACUGGUCUAUUUUGUCAUUUACUACCGUAAAAUAUGUACAAAUCUAUUAUAAAAAGUUAAAAUAUCUCAAAACUUACACAUAGAAACACAGACCAUACAGCAUGCCAUUCACAGUUGAGAAAAAUGUCACAAACAUAAAGAUGUAAAAUUAAAUCAAAACUGCAUAAAAUUAAUUGUAGUGCAUGCAACAGUAAUUUUGUAAUUCUGUUGCUGUUGCGCUGAUGGGGGCAUUCGCUGCAAACACCAUGUGACACGCACCAUCUCUGUGUGAGAAGUCUGUCUCCAGUAAGUUUCUCACUGCAGUAAGAAGUGAUCCUGGCAGAUCUUGCAUAUUUUUCUUCGUGCUUCAUGCAAUAUCAAACACGUUGUGUAACCCUGUGGGACCCAUAGGAAGUACCUCUAGUGAUGCUGGAAUUGGUCCCAAGAAGCAGAAACGUCAUGACAUUAUUAGAAAACGUUGAAUUGCUUGAGGUCUGUAGCUCCAGUUGCCUAGCAUUUCAUAAAGGCAAUUCAUCUUCUAAGCAGGAGACAUAAACUUACAGGAUCAAUAAUGACAGGACAGAACUCUAAAUGUGCU